rnacentral:rRNA from 1 species
AUUGAACGCUGGCGGAAUGCUUUACACAUGCAAGUCGAACGGCAGCACGGACUUCGGUCUGGUGGCGAGUGGCGAACGGGUGAGUAAUGUAUCGGAACGUGCCCAGUCGUGGGGGAUAACGUAGUGAAAAUUACGCUAAUACCGCAUACGAUCUAUGGAUGAAAGCGGGGGAUCGCAAGACCUCGCGCGAUUGGAGCGGCCGAUAUCAGAUUAGGUAGUUGGUGGGGUAAAGGCCCACCAAGCCAACGAUCUUGAGCUGGUCUGAGAGGACGACCGCCCACACUGAGACGGAGAAACGGUCCGGACUCCUACGGGAGGCAGCGGUGGGGAAUUUUGGACAAUGGGCGAAAGCCUGUUCCGGCCAUUCCGCGUGCAGGAUGAAGGCCCUCGGGUUGUAAACUGCUUUUGUACAGAACGAAAAGGUUUCUACUAAUACUAGGAGCUCAUGACGGUACUGUAAGAAUAAGCACCGGCUAACUACGUGCCAGCAGCCGCCGUAA